UACGUAGGGCGCAAGCGUUAUCCGGAAUUAUUGGGCGUAAAGAGCUCGUAGGCGGUUUGUCGCGUCGGCCGUGAAAUCUCCACGCUUAACGUGGAGCGUGCGGUCGAUACGGGCAGACUUGAGUUCGGUAGGGGAGACUGGAAUUCCUGGUGUAGGCGGUGAAAUGCGCAGAUAUCAGGAGGAACACCGGUGGCGAAGGCGGGUCUCUGGGCCGAUGACUGACGUGAGGAGCGAAAGCGUGGGGAGCGAACAGG
rnacentral:rRNA from 1 species